rnacentral:rRNA from 1 species
UCCGCCGCAAGGCGGGUAACGAGGCGAACGAGGUAGUAACACGUAGGUACGUACCCCAGAGUCGGGCAUAACCAGCCGAAAGGUUGGACAAUUCCCGAUGGUAUCCGACCCCGCAAGGUUGUCGGAUUAAAGUUGCAAAACGCUUUGGGAGCGGCCUGCGGGCUAUCAGCUAGUUGGUAGGGUAAUGGCCUACCAAGGCGAUGACGGCUAGGGGGGGUGAGAGCCCGAUCCCCACCGAUGGUACUGAGAACGGACCAUACACCUACGGGUGGCUGCAGUCGAGAAUCUUCCGCAAUGGGCGAAAGCCUGACGGAGCGACGUCGCGUGAUGGAUGAAGUUCUUCGGAACGUAAACAUCUUUUAUUGAAGAGAAAUCCGCCGCAAGGCGGAGUGAUAGUACUCAAUGAAUAAGGGGUUGCUAAACUCGUGCCAGCAGCAGCGGUAAUACGAGUGCCCCAAGCGUUAUCCGGAAUUACUGGGCGUAAAGCGUGCGUAGGCGGCGGUGUUAGUCGCUUGUUAAAGCUCCCGGCUUAACCGGGGAAGUGCAAGCGAAACGGCACCACUAGAGGGGGUGAGGGGUCUAUGGAACUCAUGGUGUAGGGGUGAAAUCCGUUGAUAUCAUGGGGAACACCAAAAGCGAAGGCAGUAGACUGGCACCUUACUGACGCUGUAACACGAAAGCGUGGGGAUCAAACGGGAUUAGAUACCCCGGUAGUCCACGCCCUAAACUAUGUCCGCUGGUUUUUCGGAGUAUCGACCCUCUGAGAGACGAAGCUAACGCGUUAAGCGGACCGCCUGGGAAGUACGGCCGCAAGGCUAAAACUCAAAAGAAUAGACGGGGACUUGCACAAGCGGUGGAUCAUGCGGUUUAAUUCGAUGGUAAACGAAGAACCUUACCAGGGUUUGAAAUUCAGACGAAAUCUCGAGGAAACUUGAGGUGUCUCACAAGGACGUCUGGACAGGUGUUGCAUGGCUGUCGUCAGUUCGUGGCUUGAGCUGUUCCCUUAAGUGGGGAAACGAACGCAACCUUCGUCCCGUGUUACAAGUGUCACGGGAGACUGCCCGCCUCUGGCGGGAGGAAGCGGAGAUGACGCCAAGUCAGCAUGACCCUCUGAUAUCCUGGGCCACACGCAUGAUACAAUGGCCACUACAAUUGGUCGCAAUGGGGCAACCCGGAGCUAAUCCAUAAAAGUGGUCCCAGUUCGGAUUGAGGGCUGCAAUUCGCCCUCAUGAAGUUGGAAUCGCUAGUAAUCACAGGUCAGCGAUACUGUGGUGAAUACGUUCUCAAGUCUUGUACUCACCGCCCGUCAAGCCAAGGGAGCCGGGAGCACCCGAAGUCCGACUACGUCGGAUCACGGUGAGCUUGGUGACAAGGGUUAAGUCGUAACAAGGCA